GAGAGCCGUAUACAUUGAGAGGUGUACGUACGGUUCGGAGGAGAGUACUUGGAAACCUAAUGUGGAAACACAUCAAGGCGCUGGGUGCUUAUCCUAC
rnacentral:ncRNA from 3 species